GUUCGACAAGAAUGACGAAUGAAUUAGAUGUCUGAGAUGGAAUAAUUUUUUUCAUCCUUGAAUGUUAAAAUUUGAGGCAUUUACAAUCACUCUGACUUGUUGC
rnacentral:snoRNA from 1 species